CAAACGGUUCUUUUUAGAACCACAAAUUAUUUGACAGAGGAAUACU
rfam:Cyphomyrmex costatus contig14187, whole genome shotgun sequence.